GUGGGGAAUCUUGCGCAAUGGGCGAAAGCCUGACGCAGCCAUGCCGCGUGAAUGAUGAAGGUCUUAGGAUUGUAAAAUUCUUUCACCGGGGACGAUAAUGACGGUACCCGGAGAAGAAGCCCCGGCUAACUUCGUGCCAGCAGCCGCGGUAAUACGAAGGGGGCUAGCGUUGCUCGGAAUUACUGGGCGUAAAGGGCGCGUAGGCGGACAGUUUAGUCAGAGGUGAAAGCCCAGGGCUCAACCUUGGAAUUGCCUUUGAUACUGGCUGUCUUGAGUACGGGAGAGGUGAGGGGAACUCCGAGUGUAGAGGUGAAAUUCGUAGAUAUUCGGAAGAACACCAGUGGCGAAGGCGACUCACUGGCCCGUUACUGACGCUGAGGCGCGAAAGCGUGGGGAGCAAACAGGAUUAGAAACCCGAGUAGUCC
rnacentral:rRNA from 1 species